rnacentral:tRNA from 1 species
ACCUUUCUAGUAUUCUUAGUAUAAGUGACUUCCAAUCAUUCGGACUUGGUGAAACCCCAAGGAAAGGUA